rnacentral:rRNA from 1 species
AUUGAACGCUGGCGGCAUGCUUUACACAUGCAAGUCGAACGGUAACAGGCCGCAAGGUGCUGACGAGUGGCGAACGGGUGAGUAAUGCAUCGGAACGUGCCCAGUCGUGGGGGAUAACUACUCGAAAGAGUAGCUAAUACCGCAUACGAUCUAUGGAUGAAAGCGGGGGACCGUAAGGCCUCGCGCGAUUGGAGCGGCCGAUGUCAGAUUAGGUAGUUGGUGGGGUAAAGGCUCACCAAGCCACCGAUCUGUAGCUGGUCUGAGAGGACGACCAGCCACACUGGGACUGAGACACGGCCCAGACUCCUACGGGAGGCAGCAGUGGGGAAUUUUGGACAAUGGGCGCAAGCCUGAUCCAGCAAUGCCGCGUGCAGGAAGAAGGCCUUCGGGUUGUAAACUGCUUUUGUACGGAACGAAACGGCUCUGGUUAAUACCCGGGGCUAAUGACGGUACCGUAAGAAUAAGCACCGGCUAACUACGUG